AGAACGAACGCUGGCGGCGUGGAUAAGACAUGCAAGUCGAACGGAAUAUAUUUUGUAGCAAUACCGAAUAUGUUUAGUGGCGCAAGGGUGAGUAACACGUGGGCAAUCUGCCAAGAAGUGGGGGAUAGCUCGCCGAAAGGCGAAUUAAUACCGCAUGUGGUAAUCGAGGACAUCCUCGAGAAACUAAAGCCGGGGCAACCUGGCGCUUUUUGAUGAACCCGCGGCCUAUCAGCUUGUUGGCGAGGUAAUGGCUCACCAAGGCAAGUGACGGGUAGCGUGGUCUGAGGA
rnacentral:rRNA from 1 species